GAUGAACGCUAGCGGCAGGCCUAACACAUGCAAGUCGAGGGGCAGCACGUCUUCGGAUGGUGGCGACCGGCGCACGGGUGCGUAACGCGUAUGCAACCUACCUCUUACAGUGGGAUAGCCCAGAGAAAUUUGGAUUAAUACCGCAUAGUAUACAGAUUCAGCAUUGGGACUGUAUUAAACAUUUAUGGGUAAGAGAUGGGCAUGCGUUCUAUUAGUUAGUUGGAGUGGUAACGGCCACCCAAGACAGCGAUAGAGUACGGGCCCUGAGGAGGGGACCUCCCCGACACGUGGUACUGAGACGACGGACCAGACUCCGUAC
rnacentral:rRNA from 1 species